GUUUAAAAUAAUAAUAGUCGCUAUGGUAACAUGAAAAUAAUAUGAGAAAACAGUAGGAUAUAAUUUUUUACCAAAAGAAUCGUUGAUUUUCAUAAUUUGUUAUUAAAAGGAAUAUGUUAUGUGGCUUUCAAUCGGCUAAAAGUUAAUGUAAAAUGUAACGGUAAAGCGUUUCGAAACAUUGCGUGGAACCGCAAGGGAAGCUGAAACACUCGCUUUGUUGGCAUUAUAGUCAGUAGUUUGCUCGAAAAUACGGUGAAAUAUACUUGCUUUAUAUAAGCAAAAGCUGGUUUUUGAGUUAUAUUUUGGUGAAGCCAUAUUUGCUACAGGUAAAAGACCAUUAUAAACACGCAUAAAAACACGAUAAGCUGUAUUAAUUGCCCCAAAUAAACAAUAUUUAAAAUCACGUACUACAUUGGGCUAUUCCAUUUAAUAUCCGUACCCCCCCUGUCGAGGAUCCCUGGAAUUCUUCAGGGGUAAAGGGUUUUGAGCUUGGAAUUCUUCAGGGGUAAAGUGUUUUGAGUUUGGAAUUCUUCAGGGGUAAAUGGUUUUGAGCUUGGAAUUCUUCAGGGGUAAAGGGUUUUGAGCUUGGAAUUCUUCAGGGGUGAAGAGGUUUGAGAUUGAAAUUUUUCAGAGCUUGGAAUUCUUCAGGGGUAAAAGGUUUUGAGCUUGAAAUUCUUCAGGGGUAAAGGGCUUUGAGCCUGGAAUUCUUUAGGGGUGAAGGGUUUUGAGCUUGGAAUUCUUCAGGGGUAAAAGGUUUUGAGCUUGGAAUUCUUCAGGGGUAAAGGGUUUUGAGCUUGGAAUUUUGGAAUUCUUCAGGGUAAAAGGUUUUGAGCUUGGAAUUCUUCAGGGGUAAAGAGUUUUGAGCUUGGAAUUUUGGAAUUCUUCAGGGGUAAACAGUUUUGAGCUUGGAAUUCUUCAGGGGUAUGACAAUGAAAAACAUGUAUCCUCGACAGGGGGGGUACGGAUAUUAAAUGGAAUAGCCCAUUAU